GCGAAGGGCGCCUUCGCGUUUAACCAGACGCGCCCUGCUUCCGACAGAUGCCGUUUGUCCGCGCUUCUUUGUACCUGACGGUGUAAGAUCCCUGGAAGUUGGAUGAGAAAAACCAGUCCAGAGAGGUUAAGUGACCUUCUCCAAGUCACCGGCUAGCUGCAGAGCCAGGAGCCAAAAUUCUUAACUCCCAGCUCUGGGCAUGUUCUCCCCCACACGAGCGACCUCAGGCAGGAGUGGAUUCCUCUGGCCAUUCUCCCCAAUAUUCCUCAGGUUCUUCAAGCUCCCAGAAAAGGGUAAUGGCACCAGGCGUCCUCUGCCCGAGGCGCCGCCGGGAAGGACUGGCCCAGGCAGGAAAGGCACCUGGUGAAGAUUCGUUGACUGCAGUCACCCUCAGCCCAGGAGAGUGCGGGGAUAGCGCCAGGCUCGCUGGAGGAGGAACAGGUUCCAGGCUCAGCUCGCGUGAGCAAGUUGUUGAGCCGCUGCUCUGGAAGCCUGUUUCUACCUCCAUCAAGGCCUACCCGGUCCUUGGAGAAUCAAAUGAGCUAAGGCACCUGACCACCAACCAAGUCACUCCAGGGAAAUUCAUGGCUUUUCUGCAAGACACUGCCACACAGAGCUGCUCCAACCGGACGUGGUGACUCCAAGUUUUCAGGCCACAGACACAGAUCUACCUUCUCUUCUGUUCCUAAGAGAUGCCUAUCUCUGGCCAGUAGAGAAUGAGAACACUUUUUUCUUUAUUUAUGUAGCAAUUUGUUCUGCUGACUACCCAUUUGUAUAUUUUUUUAUUUAUACUAUGAGUUUCCAGAAGACAGGGCACGUCUUAAUCAUCUUUGCAUCUGAGAGAGUACCAAACACAAACACAGCGCUUUACCCAUUGAUACCCAGAGUACUUAGUAAAUUAUGAGUUGAAUUUUUGUCUUUCUUAUAAUGUAAGAUCCCGAAAAUUGAGAAUCAUGAUUAAGCUAACUGCCAAGCAAAUGGUAAAUGCUCAAUAAGGGAUGAUGACUAUUAUUAACUACAUAUUUCUCUCUCUUCCAGACUCCCAUAGCACAUUCUAUUACUUCUUCCAUUACAUUUAUCACUUUCUGUUUUGGGGUGGAUUCUAGAUAUGUGGGAGUGUGCGAGUGUUCCUCCAAAACUGGAACACCUUGAAGGCUAGUGUUGUGUUAUUCAUCUUAGUGACCUCUCUAUCAAAAGUAGCUAGUUGAGUGCAUCAAAGACACUCAAUAAACAUUGCUUAAUAAACUGAUUUUUCAAGUUCUCUUUAUGAACCAGCAAAUACAUUAUGAACAGGUUCUUAAUGUCUCGGGAUAAAAAUGAUGACAAUGCUGGUGAUUAUGAUUGUAUUCGAUUGCCUAUCCUUAUGAUAAUGCCCUUUGAACUUCAUCAUCUUUCCCUUUAUGGGGUUUAGGGCUGUAGGGAGCCAUGGCUACAACAUAGAUGUGGGAUAUAGUAUCUUUGGGUUCCAAAAAAAUUCAUAUGGUGAAGCCCUAAACCUCUGUGUGACUGUAUUUAAAGACAGGCCUUUAGGAGGUAAUUAAGGUUAAAUGAGGUCAUAAGAGUGGGGCCCUGCUCCAGUAGGACUGAUGUCCUUAUGAGAGCCCAGGAGUGCACAUGCACAGAGGACGGCCACAUGAGGACACAGAGAGAAGGUGGUUGUCUACAAGCCACGGAUAGAGGCCUCACCGGACACAGACCCUGCUGGGCCUAUCUUGGACUCCCAGCCAGCAGAGCUGUAAGAAAAUUACCUUCUGUGGUUUAAACUCCCCAGUGUGCAGUAUUUUGUUAUGGAGCAGACUAAGACAGUGGCCUUAAGAGUCUUUGGAAUAAAAAAAUGUUUACUUCUUUUCGGUUUUUAAGUCCUCCGUCUUACAAUUAUUUGACUUGUGGCAACCCAGAUCUCAUUGAUACUUCUUCUCUCCCUGAGAAGUUUGGAAAGAAGGAAGGACACGUUUUUAUAGUCCCUGUGAUGGUAAAUUUUAUGUGUCAACUUUCUUGGGCCACAGGAUGCCCAGACAUUUGGUCAAUCAUUAUUCUGGAUGUGUCUGUGAGGGUGUUUCUGAAUGAGAGUAACAUUUGAAUCGACAGAUUUGAGUCGAGUAGAUUGGCCCCCUAAGGUGGGUGGGCCUCAUCCAAUCAAUGGAAGACUUGAAUAGAGCAAAAAGGCCAGUCAGAGGGAAGGCUGCCUCCCUGCCUGCUUCAGCUGGGACGUCGGUCUUCUCCUGACCUCAGACUGGAACCUACACCCUCAGGUCUCCUGGGUCUCCAACUUGCUGACUGCAGAUCUCGGACUUCUCAGCCUCCAUCAUCAC